ACUGCUGAAUGAAAUGAAUUUUGUGUUUUCACAGAAGCAUAACACGAGUUCCAUUGAAAAUACACAACACAUUCAACUAGGCACAUUCAAAGCAACCUUAUGGUUAUAUUUAAAUGUCAAAUUUGCGAGUAAUUGAAAUGGAAAGAGCAUGAUUGUGUAUGAAGCACACAAAAUAUGGCCGCACAACAAUUAAUAUGACGCCAGGCCGAAAAGUUGUACGGUCAGAUGCAAUGUAAAUUUUCAAGCGUCCGACAAGAAUUUUAUAAUUCAAUAAGACUCUGACGAAUUUUUACUGUAAUACGUAAUCUUUUUUUUCCAUAAUGAAAUAAUGUUUGAAUAACUUAGUGUUCUAACUUAAAGCGAGAGUCAAGAAGGCCAGGCAUGAAACAAGCGCCAUGUUGAUUUCGCAGUUGAACUCGGUUUUCGAAAGGUUAUUGCUGCAAUAUUCUCUCACAUAAUAUAUUUUUAUAAUCCCAAAUAUCUCGUUAAAGUGUUAUAGAGAACAAUACAUUCAAACUAACACUAUUUCUUUGAUUAUUUUUAAAUACAAACGCACCGGCCGGCGUAGCACGACACAAUAUUGAAAUGGAACCCCAGCGAUUGUAAAGAUCGCUGUUGUUGCAAAUGGGUGAAGAAUGCAGCAGAGCUUAUAAAGCCCCUUAACAUCACAUGAAUGCAGAUUUAAUAAUGUACUGGAAGGAUUUACUAUUUCUCUUGUGAUUUGUUUGGACCUUUAAAAAAGAUUUACAGCUAUACGUGUCGCGUCAUCGAACACAACCCGAACAAAUUUUCAACGAUAUCCAUACAACGAAAUGUUUUCUUGGCAACCACUAGAAAAUGGAUGAUUAUUAUUCACGAAAGUAUAUUAUACAGGGUUACAAAGGAUCACUGUAGGAUAUGGAAACAUUACCCAUUGCGGUGUCCUGCUGUACAUGAUGAGAUCAUUUUGGAUUCUGCACAAUAUAUAAAGAGGGAAUUUCGGGUGUGAUACACAGUGAGAUACCUAAGGUGCUCUACGGUACAUGAAGCAUACGGAUAGAUGAUUUUACAGGAAAUACAUCGAAAUACUCCUUAAUGUGAACGCUUACAAAACCAUAGACAAAGGAACCUUGUGUUUGUUUCGCGACUAACGUGUUGGCAAGAAGUCGAGAAGCAUUUGCAUAGAAAAAUUUCGAUUGGAGUCACCACAUUCAUUGAAAGAUACAGCAGUUCAUUCUCGUGCAUCGCGUGUAGCAAUUUGUAUGGUGUAAAGAGUGGUGUUGUGUGGUAAUGGUACACCAUUAACACAAGCAGUUCAUCUGUGAGUUUGACAGCAUUCAAAGUCAUUCGUACGCCUGGCUUGGCAACACUUCAUUCAAAGACUCUCAUCGGUCGACACGCUUGCUACUGAAGAGAGAGCAGUGUUUCGAGCUGAUAAUUUGCGGUCUGUUUCUAUUGGUGCAUGUUGGUUUUUCAUACGCUCUUGAGAAUUCAAAGCGGCGAAAUGGCUGAGAACAUGGAUCCUAACCUGGCAUAUUUUGGUCAUGAACUGGCUCGCAUUGGCGAUGUUAUGAACACCCAACAAAACGGCGGGGGUGAACAAAAUAACAAUAUCGAAGUUGAACAGAUACUGCAAUUGACCGGCUGUGCAUCUAUCAGUUGUUUUGCAGUAUAUCUGCUCUGCAGAUUCAUACAAAAGAAACUUCUUCGUAAUGAAUGAACAUUGGCGAUUUGAUCGAGGACAUUUGUACAUGGAUAUUUCGGUGUUUCGCCGAAUCUGUAUAUAUAUGUAUACAUUAAUUAAUGUGGAUGGAUAAAAUUAAGGGAAUUGUACAUAUUAUAACGGUGAACUGUAUUUUAUUGAAAAUAUGCGAUAAAUGGUCACUUUUGCAAGGACUGAAGAAGAGCAACCGCUCGAAAUGUUGAAGAAUUACUCUCAAAAAGCUACAUAACAUGAUUCUACAGACAGGCUUGGUUUCUUAACAAAUGAUUACUCUCCUUCAACGCAAUCUUCACUAGGUGUCAGCUGUUAAAACAUUUCAAAGGAUAAAGAGGACGAUUACGCGCAAGGAUCAAAGCUAGACAUUUCAAUGACCAAAUUUGGCGAGACUUGCAAAUUUUAGCAGUGUUCAAACUUUGAACUGUUCGAUAAUUCAUACGAAGGUGUCUUCACAUUAUUUAACAGCAAUUCCAAGUACAAGGCAAACAUCUUUGGGAAGUUUCAACACCAAAUUUGGUAACGUUUCCCCUCGAUGAACAAGCAAUUGUCUUUUAAAAUAUUAAUAUUUAAUGACAAAAAAAAUUGCUUUGUAGACAAUAUUCAUAAUAUUUCAUCUGAGUCGAUAUCACCAAAUAUUACCCCACUUUGACAAGCUAUUAACUGAAUCGUGCUUUUCGUCCAUCAACCUCCUAAAUUUUCGGCCAUUUUUGAUGCAAAUACAAACGCAAAUUAUGAAAACGUUAGCAUUAGCGUCGUCAACGUUUGAUCUUGAAAUCAAAAGUCGAGCACCGAAAAGAUCAAACACCAACACAAUGACAAUGAACGCUGUGUGAGCCUAGUUAUAAUAUAGUCGUAACAUUACUGAUAACGUUGUAAUAUAUAAACUUUUUUGUACAUAAUAUUCUCCUUAUGUAUAGAGUUAGACUGCAUAUAGUAUAAAUGUAUAAAGUAGAGAGAAUUUUGUACAUUAUGAAUAUUAAAUUUGUUAAGCGACUUGGAAUAUUAAAAUUUCGGUGAAGCACAUAAGAGAAGGACUUUAGUUAUUGCAGCAAAUGUUUGCUGCGUUUGUUAAAGUAUGUUUCUGCGUAAUAUACAGAGAAAUUCACUCAAAAUGCGAAAUUUCCUUUGUAUGUAAAUAAUGAGUAAUGUGUUUGUCAAUGCACUAUGCACACAUACGUCAAUAUGAACAAUGAUAAAUUAAAAGAAAUACAAACAAAAA